CCUACGGGAGGCAGCAGUGGGGAAUCUUGGGCAAUGGGCGCAAGCCUGAUCCAGCCAUUCCGCGUGAGUGAAGAAGGCCUUCGGGUUGUAAAGCUCUUUCGGCAGGAACGAAACGGCGGACUCUAACAUAGUCUGUCAAUGACGGUACCUGAAGAAGAAGCACCGGCUAACUACGUGCCAGCAGCCGCGGUAAUACGUAGGGUGCGAGAGUUAAUCGGAAUUACUGGGCGUAAAGCGUGCGCAGGCGGCUUUGUAAGACGGAGGUGAAAUCCCUGGGCUUAACCUAGGAACUGCGUUCGUGACUGCAAAGCUAGAGUGCGGCAGAGGGGGGUGAAAUUCCUGGUGUAGCAGUGAAAUGCGUAGAGAUCAGGAGGAACACCGAGGGCGAAGGCAGCCCCCGGGGUUGGCACUGACGCUCAUGCACGAAAGCUUGGGGAGCAAACAGGAUUAGAUAC
rnacentral:rRNA from 1 species